rnacentral:lncRNA from 1 species
UCUCAGCCUGUCUGCAUCUCCCUACUCUUGCUGGCUUGUCUUGUCUCUACCAGCUUCCCCGGAUGUCUGCAGCUUCUCCAGUGCGAUCGAAUCAUCUCAGCCAGGCUCACGCAGUGAUGUUUUAUUAUCGAGUGGCCACCAGCUGUAAUGCGAGACUUGUGAUGUUCCUUGGGAAUUGAGAUUUGAUCUUGCCAAACUUUCAGAAGAUAAUAAGAGCUCUAAAUACAGCACUUCAUGAACUGUGACUCAGCACACAGCGUCCAGGUCAGCACGCAGUGUCCGGGUCAGCACGCAGCAUCCAGGUCAGCACACAGCAUCCGGGUCAGCACACAGCGUC